rnacentral:rRNA from 1 species
GGUUCAUUCAAAUUUCUUCCCUAUCAACUUUCGAUGCGAGGGUAUUGUCCUCGCAUGGUUACAACGGGUAACGGAGGGUUAGGGCUCGACCCCGGAGAAGGAGCCUGAGAAACGGCUACUACAUCCAAGGAAGGCAGCAGGCGCGCAAAUUACCCAAUCCCGACCGGGGAGGUAGUGACAAUAAAUACUGAUACAGGGCUCUUUUGGGUCUUGUAAUUGGAAUGAGAACAAUUUAAAUCCCUUAUCGAGGAACAAUUGGAGGGCAAGUCUGGUGCCAGCAGCCGCGGUAAUUCCAGCUCCAAUAGCGUAUAUUAAAGUUGUUGCGGUUAAAAAGCUCGUAGUUG